UGCCAGCCGCCGCGGUAAUACGGGGGGUGCAAGCGUUGUUCGGAAUUAUUGGGCGUAAAGGGCGCGUAGGCGGUCAAUUAAGUUAGGCGUGAAAGCCCCGGGCUCAACCCGGGAACUGCGCUUAAAACUGAGGGACUAGAAAACGGAAGAGGGUAGUGGAAUUCCCAGUGUAGAGGUGAAAUUCGUAGAUAUUGGGAAGAACACCAGUGGCGAAAGCGGCUACCUGGUCCGAUUUUGACGCUGAGGCGCGAAAGCGUGGGGAGCGAACAGGAUUAGAUA
rnacentral:rRNA from 1 species